rnacentral:lncRNA from 1 species
AGUAUUUUCCUAUUCGGAGUCAUUUGUUUUAAAUGAUGUUUGGUAAGGAAUAGGUUAGCACCAUCUUCUCAAUUUUGUUGUCCAGAUCAUAAUUUUCUUGUGUCAUUUCAAGAAGUUUACCAUGUGUACAGCCAUCAUGCACAAGGAACAUUCUUCAACCUUUCCGAUUCUUCAUCCUUUUCGAAUAUUUUGUCAUCUAAAAUGUCUUUGGCCUAUGCUUCACACUCGCUCU